CACUAACUGUGCUUGAGCCUCGUGAUACUGCAUACUCCGCUCUUGUUAGUCGAGUACACAUUACACAUGAGAUAGUCUGGUCACGUCCGCCUCGCUUGAUCUGUAGCAAUAAUUUUCCAGCCUACAUAAUUUUAAUGCUAUCUUCUACUGUUCAUGACAGCACAAAUUGGCUCAUGUAUGUAAGGUUCAGCACUUCUGAAGUAUGAAGUGCAUUGACGUAGGAAGAACACAGUUAAAGCUCAUUUGUAAUGUAAAUGGCAGUGUGCUGGUCCUGUUAGAUUUAUUUAAUCUGGAAUGCAUAACAAUCUCGGACUUCAGUGCUCUCCAGUGCCGACGUUGUGUGUAUCGGUAUAUGGUUCAGUCUCCAGAACUGCUCAGUGUACCACACAAAACAUUAAGUAUUGUCAGUUUUUGUGAUACCCUGUGUAAUGUCAAAUGUGCUAGUGCAGGCUGGAAAGAUGUUUUGAUAAAUUGGCAUGAACUGUGAAGUUUACCAUUGCUUACAUCCAGUGGGACUGUAAAUUCUGAAAUGGAUUUGGAGGUGUAUGUUGGAGUAUGCUUGGCACAUAUUGAAUUUGUGCUGUCUAAGGCGUCUGCUGUUUCAGGUAUGUAAUUAGAACUCCCAGUUGUGCUUCCAGAUGUUUACUGUUAAUGAUGAACAACAAACACUGCCCUAGUCAAUCUGAAGCAAUGAUGUUGAAAGAUUCUGAUAUCAUUAAAUUUUCUUUUCAUUUGAUGAUGAUAGAGGAAUUGUGCUUACUUCAUGAUUCUUGUUUCAGGUAUACAUGUUCAUUGUUAUUGAAAAUCAACAAGAAUGUAAUUGUCAGCAAAGUAAUAAUUUUUGUUUCUGACACUAGUGUGUUCCACUUGUAAAGUAUUGGUCAAUAAAGAUUUCAGUUGAAAA